rnacentral:lncRNA from 1 species
CGUGGGGCAACAAAUAAAAAUAAAUGGGGAAUGUGUUCAUGGACACAAAUGCCCUGCUUGCAUAUAACAUUAUACAGGGACAGAACUUUGGAACAGCCAAAAAAUGAUGCUACCCAAAUUCGAACUUGAUUUGAAUGUUGUGGUAAUAAGCAUUGUGUAAAUGUUUCAUAAAAUUUGGUUGGGGCAUUUGGUUGGAAUGGAAUCGAAUUAUUUAACAAAUUUUGUAUUUCUAAAGAGGCAUACUUCUAGAACGCAAACGUGACGCCACCAAAAUUCCAAAGUUUAAUCUGUGGGGUUCGUGUUGCUUAGUCUUUAGUUUUCUAUGUUAUGCCUUGAAUAUGUACUAUUAUUUGUCUGUUUGUUUUUUAAUUUUUUAGCAAUGGCGUUGUCAUUUUUUUUUUUAGAUCUAUGAGUGUGACUGUCCCUUUGGUAUCUUUCGUCCCUAUUUAAUCAGUAGGACAACGCCCGUUGUCUCGUG